UCCCUCCUAGCUCAGUCGGUAAAGAGUCUGCCUGCAGUGCAGGAAACCUGGGUUCAAUUCCUGGGUCAGGAA
rnacentral:tRNA from 1 species